rnacentral:rRNA from 1 species
AGCGAACGCUGGCGGCAGGCCUAAUACAUGCAAGUCGAGCGGUCCCUUCGGGGGCAGCGGCGGACGGGUGAGUAACGCGUGGGAACGUGCCCUUUGGUACGGAACAACUGAGGGAAACUUCAGCUAAUACCGUAUGUGCCCUUCGGGGGAAAGAUUUAUCGCCAUUGGAGCGGCCCGCGUUGGAUUAGGUAGUUGGUGAGGUAAAGGCUCACCCAAGCCUACGAUCCAUAGCUGGUCUGAGAGGAUGAUCAGCCACACUGGGACUGAGACACGGCCCAGACUCCUACGGGAGGCAGCAGUAGGGAAUCUUGCGCAAUGGGCGAAAGCCUGACGCAGCCAUGCCGCGUGAAUGAUGAAGGUCUUAGGAUUGUAAAAUUCUUUCACCGGGGACGAUAAUGACGGUACCCGGAGAAGAAGCCCCGGCUAACUUCGUG